GGGCCCGCACAAGCGGUGGAGCAUGUGGUUUAAUUCGACGCAACGCGCAGAACCUUACCCAGACUUGACAUCUAUCAAACCCGGCCCAAAAGCUGGGGUGCCCGCAAGGGAAUGGUAAGACAGGUGCUGCAUGGCUGUCGUCAGCUCGUGUCGUGAGAUGUUGGGUUAAGUCCCGCAACGAGCGCAACCCUCGCCUUUAGUUGCUCCGCAAGGAGAUCUCUAGAGGGACCGCCAGUGAUAAGCUGGAGGAAGGUGGGGAUGACGUCAAGUCCUCAUGGCCUUUAUGUCUGGGGCUACACACGUGCUACAAUGGCGAGUACAAAGCGUUGCCAACCUGCGAAGGGGAGCUAAUCGCAUAAAACUCGUCUCAGUUCGGAUCGGAGUCUGCAACUCGGCUCCGUGAAGUCGGAAUCGCUAGUAAUCGCAGAUCAGCACGCUGCGGUGAAUACGUUCCCGGGCCUU
rnacentral:rRNA from 1 species